AGAGGAAGUAAAAGUCGUAACAAGGUUUCCGUAGGUGAACCUGCGGAAGGAUCAUUACCGAGUGAGGGCCCUCUGGGUCCAACCUCCCACCCGUGUUUAUUUUACCUUGUUGCUUCGGCGGGCCCGCCUUAACUGGCCGCCGGGGGGCUUACGCCCCCGGGCCCGCGCCCGCCGAAGACACCCUCGAACUCUGUCUGAAGAUUGUAGUCUGAGUGAAAAUAUAAAUUAUUUAAAACUUUCAACAACGGAUCUCUUGGUUCCGGCAUCGAUGAAGAACGCAGCGAAAUGCGAUACGUAAUGUGAAUUGCAAAUUCAGUGAAUCAUCGAGUCUUUGAACGCACAUUGCGCCCCCUGGUAUUCCGGGGGGCAUGCCUGUCCGAGCGUCAUUUCUGCCCUCAAGCACGGCUUGUGUGUUGGGCCCCGUCCUCCGAUCCCGGGGGACGGGCCCGAAAGGCAGCGGCGGCACCGCGUCCGGUCCUCGAGCGUAUGGGGCUUUGUCACCCGCUCUGUAGGCCCGGCCGGCGCUUGCCGAUCAACCCAAAUUUUAUCCAGGUGACCUCGGAUC
rnacentral:rRNA from 1 species